rnacentral:rRNA from 1 species
UACGUAGGGUGCGAGCGUUAAUCGGAAUUACUGGGCGUAAAGCGUGCGCAGGCGGUUAUGUAAGACAGAUGUGAAAUCCCCGGGCUCAACCUGGGAACUGCAUUUGUGACUGCAUGGCUAGAGUACGGUAGAGGGGGAUGGAAUUCCGCGUGUAGCAGUGAAAUGCGUAGAUAUGCGGAGGAACACCGAUGGCGAAGGCAAUCCCCUGGACCUGUACUGACGCUCAUGCACGAAAGCGUGGGGAGCAAACAUGAUUAGAUACCCGGGUAGUCC